ACGGAUGAAUAAGGUCAAAAUAAAUAAGGGUUCAACAUAAUAAACUAGAUUUGGGGGACGUUUUAAUGGUUUUUUAGUUGCCAAACAUAUAGCAAAAGGAGAGAAAGAACUGAUAUCCGGUAUAACUGUUGUCUGAAGUAUAGCGACGUGCAUCGAAUUACCGAAAACCAAGGUGGUUUUCAAGGAAUAUUGGGGGAACUUAAAGAACUACGGUGCGAACCUAUUGUAAGUUCAAUAAGUGGCUCACAGGAAUUUGUUUGGUGUUUCUGUAGUGCUAUAUAUACCAACAGCUCAAUCAACCUUGCCUGUGAAAAGCCACAGACUCGCAAGUAAGGCUCUAUAUAUAAACUGGCGAGAUUGCAUUAACAACUUACAACAUCGACACUUUAAGAUGUGCUGCAGUGCACUUUGAAGCAUAAUUAUGCACUUAUGUAGUUAUAUCAUGUAGUUAUAUCUUAUAUACGUAUAAAUCUUGGUUUGAUAGUGUAAAUAAUCCAACUAAAUAUACGGCUGGUUCUCAUUCCUUCACAGAAGAAACACCUUUGAUCAGCGAUGAAACAACACAAAUGCAGCGAUGAAACAACACACGUAUAUAGUCGAAGAAAUUAUUAAAAUUCUUGUGGGUUUUGAUCAUAGGUGUUUCGUUGGAUACAAGUUAAGUGUUUUCACCAAUAAUAAACACGAUGUAAGAACUCAUUGUUGUAAGAAUUUCUUACAUAAAAAUAUUGAAGACCCACGCAUAUGUGGGAUCACGUUGAUGAAAUAACCAAGGUUGGAUUACGGCACAGACAGAGAACAAUGCAUACUACAUACUUUUGAUUAAAGUAAUACACCCUUGGCAGCUGAAUGUUCACUUAUAACGCCAGGUAUCGAUAUCUAUAGGAUAUCCAAAGCAGUCCAGGAC